GGUAGUUACAGUCUUGUCUCAUCGCUGCAACUUCCGUAUGGACACAACCCAACCCAAACACAACCCAACCAAGCCGCAAUGCUUCUUGACACAAUGCCUACUUAACCCAGAAGCCAGCCGCACCAAUGUGUCAGAGGAAACACCGUACACCUGGCAACUGUGUCAGUGUGCACUGCACCCGGCCCACCACAGGAGUCGCUGGGCCAAUUGUGCGCCGCCCCAUGGAUCUCCCGGUCACGGCCGGCUGCGACAAAGCAUGGACUCAAACCCAGAAUCUCUAGUGGCACAGCUAGCACUGCGAUGCAGUGCCUUAUACCACUGCACCACUUGGGAGGCCCUUACUCUAGUAUUCUUUCCUUCACCCACCUCAUAUUGUAUUCUCUAAUGUUGCUUAAUGCACGAUUAGGUUGAUAUGAUGUAAAAUAGUGCAACAUCUUUGCAUCUUUGAUUGACAGGAGUGUCAGGCGGUCCCCUUUGUGACGGUUACUGGGGUGGUAGGAGAGGGGAGUCUAGUCAGGACCCCCCCCCCCACCUGCACAUACAGAAACCUGCUCCGACACAGACGCUGGGAAAGACAGUCCCUCCAACGCCUCUAGGAAAACUCAUUCUAUCUUUAUGCCCACUGAUGGUACAAGGGUGAGAGGGAACGACCUGAACAUGGCAUACGAGCGGGCCAGAGUCACCAUAGACGAACGCCCCUCCAGCCCUGUCAUUUAUAAGUCCAUCCUGAAGAAGAGUGUGACCAUGCAGCACACACCCUUGGCGGCGUUCCACUACACAGACUGUGAGGGAUGCUCUGACAACGUCCACCCCAGCAAGGUCAGCGACAUCGUCCAGAUCUGCUGGGCAUCAUCAAGCUGCAGUUGGAGCAGAUGCUGGAGGGCAGUGCGGUGAGGGCCCAGAAGCAGCUGGUGUUGUUACACAGGGAAGAUGGCCCACCACUCCAGGGCACUGUGGAGUGGCUCAACAUGAGGAGCUGGAUCUCCAGGCACCUGCACCUCUCCUGCCCACACAGGGUCUACUCCAAAAGGAGCCUGCCCAAACUGAUAGAGAUGUACUAGCUUGUGUUCCAAAAGCCAGCUGACCGCCAUUCAGACUUUUCCCGUCUGCCCAGGGUGCUGAUGCCAUCGCCCUCAUAUGGGGGAGGAGGAGCCAGGUACGACCCAAUGACUCCAGGAGAUGUUUCAAGGGAUCCCUGUGGACCUGGUGGGUGGAGUUUCCAUCGGCUCCCUGAUGGGGACGCUGUACGCGGAGGACCACAGCCGCAUGAGAAAGAGGGCACGAGAGUGGGCCAUGUCUUUUUGACGGUGUGUUGCAGGAGAUGACAUAAGAAAAGGUGCUGGACCUGACCUACCCCAUCACUUCUAUGUUCUCUGGCGCCGCCUUCAACUCCAGCAUUUACACAGUGUUCAAGGGCAAGCAGAUUGGUGAGGAAGAGACACCUUCACAGCACAGCUGGAGUUAGUCUUGGGACUAACUGGCAGAGAAAGUGAAUGAAUGUGAGCCUCUCUCACAGCACUGUAUAGGACUACAGCCUCAGAUAUGGCUGCCCUAUGCGUGUUGUGUGCAUCAGUGAAGAGCAGUGACUACUGCGAGUACAUCAGACCGCCCAUAAACCGAUACCGCACACUGGAGUUUGGCAAGUUCGACAAGAUCCCUGGACCUGUGACCUGUCCCAACGCCUCCUUCACUGACCUGGCUGAGAUCGUGUCCCGCAUCGAGCUGGCCAAACCUGCUCUGGUAGACGAGCAGUCCGACUACCACACAGACUAAUAGCAGGAGGCGGUGGGGAGUGCCUACUCAGACAUUGAGCUGUCCAAUCACUACAGCGAACACACCACUAAGUGGGAGGAGACUGCUGACACAGUGCAGUGAAGCUUUGAAUGUUGACGUUUCUUCUUGGUUUAUCUCGGAGGAAGAUCUGCUGGACAGGGGGUGCAGACGUCGCCAUCCUCCCCCAGGCACUAGUGGGGGGAGGGGUAAAAUGUGAACUACAGUGCGUAGGCUGAUGCUAUAUGGUGCUUAUGUACAGGCACAUCCAAGACAGCUGUAAAACACAGCUGAUUUGACUAAUGAAUCAUUAGCCUUUACUUACCUCUAGAACUAGCUUUAUAGAUGUACUCACAUGACAUUAAGCCAAUAAAUGCAGUAUAUUUUUUGAAUGUGUGUUUAUCCAUACAGUGCAGUAUAAAGUAGUGCCUUUAUCACAGCUAAUGUUGAUGCUAGCACCAGAAGCCUUGCAUUGUGUUGUAGUAAAUGGAACAUCGUACAGAUCGUACAGAUCCCAUGUGGUUGUAAGAGUGUGUCCUAAAUAGCACCCUAUUCACUUCAGUGCAUUAUGUAGGGGAUAGGAUGCCACAAGAGACGCAACCUGUCUAAAGUCUAAAUGGAGCAAAGAGGCAGCAUGUGUUGUGUGUGAGCGCAUGUCAGACCCGGAAGGAGGAUGUAUCAUGAAUGUUAUUGUGGCAUUUCUCUAGCCGUUGGCGAAGUUGAUACUGCUGUAGGGUCAAUGUAUGGUCAGCCUCACAGUUCUGGAUAGGGUCCAAUUCAAAGGCACAAUUCAUGUGGUACAAUAAACACAUAUUGAAUGAAUUAGCUAAAUGGAAAGUGCUGUUGGAUAAUGAUUGAUGACUACAGUGAAACAAUGAAAAAGAUAUAUGAAUGUGGUGCCACGUUUUACAAAACGCAUACAUAUAUGCUCAGUGAAUGCAACAACGCUUUUUGUGACUUACUGAAUUAAAC
rnacentral:lncRNA from 1 species